GACGGAGGGUGCAAACGUUGUUCGGAAUCACUGGGCAUAAAGAGCACGUAGGCUGCGCGCUAAGUCAGGUGUGAAAUCCCCCGGCUCAACCGGGGAACUGCACCUGAUACUGAUGUGCUAGAGUGCGGAAGGGGCAAUCGGAAUUCUUGGUGUAGCGGUGAAAUGCGUAGAUAUCAAGAGGAACACCUGAGGUGAAGACGGGUUGCUGGGCCGGACCUGACGCUGAGACGCGAAGGCGUGGGGAGCGAACGGG
rnacentral:rRNA from 1 species